rnacentral:tRNA from 1 species
GGCCUGCUAGCUCAGUCGGUUAGAGCGUCGUGCUAAUAACGCGAAGGUCAUAGGUUCGAUCCCUACGCAGGCCA